UACGAAGGGAGCUAGCGUUGUGCGGAAUCACUGGGCGUAAAGCGCACGUAGGCGGAUGUGUCAGUCAGGGGUGAAAUCCCGGAGCUCAACUUCGGAACUGCCUCUGAUACAGCACGUCUUGAGUCCGAUAGAGGUGGGUGGAAUUCCUAGUGUAGAGGUGAAAUUCGUAGAUAUUAGGAAGAACACCGGUGGCGAAGGCGGCCCACUGGAUCGGUACUGACGCUGAGGUGCGAAAGCGUGGGGAGCAAACAGG
rnacentral:rRNA from 1 species